CCGGUCUACAAAUCGAGGUCCAGGAUAGC
rnacentral:piRNA from 1 species